AACUCAGAAAUCUGCCUGCCUCUGCCUCCGGAGUGCUGGGAUUAUUAAAAGGCGUGCGCCACCACACCCGGCUACAGAUGCAUUCUUAUACAAAGAAAAUGGGACCUGAUCUCCCGUACACACAUUGUAUGCUCCCUACUAUAUUUUGGUUGGGCGAAUUAUUUAGUUGGGCUUUUUGGAGGAUCAUACAAAUUCAUUAUUUCCAAUGUAAACAUUACCCGUUUUGUUUUGUUCUGUUCUAGACAAGGUCUUACUAUAUAGCUCUGACUAUCCUGGAACUCACUAUGUAGACUAGGCUGACCUGGAAACUCAAGAGAUCUGCCUGCUUCUGCGUGUCUGCUGCUAGGCAUAAAAUCUUAUUGCCUCUGCUCCCAGCUCCUGUUUAUAACCUUUCCCCACUGGAAGAUCCAGAGUUCCUUGAAGGAGCUGAGGUGGUGAUUCUCUUUCUGAAGUUGCGGACAAUGAGCUUAAAGUCAGCAGAGUUUCCUCAGAAGAGAGGGAGGCCAGGACGAAACAUGCCUGGGGACUUGCACAGCUGCAGUUACUUUCCCAUCAGUUCUGGAGGCUUGAGGCACAAGAUGGGGGGUCACAGCAUCCCAAGAUGAAUCCUUUCAAAGCAAGAUUUCUACACCUAAGAGUAGCAGACUGCAGGAGGAUCUCUGUGAGUUGAAGGCCAGCCUAGUCUACCCUGUGAGCAUGCCCUCCUGAACUCCACAGGGGCCCACAUGACACACACACACACACACACACACACACACAAACAUAAACAUAUAUAGAGAAUUAAAGCUAAAAUAAACCUUAAAGAUAUAGUCAGUCUCCAGAUCUACCGAGUUCUGCUGCAUAGAGUACAGAAUUAUGAAAGCCCAAACACUGAGAUAGGAUUUCUCCUUGGUUGCUGAAUACUUGAGCCUCCGAAACACAAAGAACUGCAAAAUAGCUUAGCCUUGGUUGGAGAAAUGUUCUUUUCCUAGAACUGUGUGGUUCUUUAAGAACAAUGACCAGACCAGCUAAGGGAUCCCAAAUAGGCCUGGGUCUGCACACAUGUGAGAGGAUUAGUCAGGUCUCUACAUACAUGAGGAAAUUGUCAGGUCUGUACACACAUCAGGGGAUUAGUCUGCCUUAGUUAUGGUUUCAUUGCUAUGAUAAAAACCAUGAUCACACACAACUGGGGGUUGGGGGGAGAGAUUUAUUUCUGCUUAGCGCUCCACAUCACUGGGAUGUCAGGGCAGGAAGUCAGCCAGGGCAGGAGCUGAUGCAGAAACUUUGUAGGAGUGUUUCUUUCUGACUUGACUUGCUCAACCUACUUUCUUUUUCUUU